rnacentral:rRNA from 1 species
GAUGAACGCUAGCGAUAGGCUUAACACAUGCAAGUCGAGGGGCAGCAUGGUCUUAGCUUGCUAAGACUGAUGGCGACCGGCGCACGGGUGCGUAACGCGUAUGCAACUUGCCUCACAGAGGGGGUUAACCCGUCGAAACACAGACUAAUACCGCGUACACUCUAUUUUGGGCAUCCAAGGUAGAGGCAAUGAAAUUCGCUGUGAGAUAGGCAUGCGUCCCAUUAGCUAGUUGGUGAGGUAACGGCUCACCAAGGCGACGAUGGGUAGGGGAACUGAGAGGGGGAACCCCCACACUGGUACUGAGACACGGACCAGACACAUACGGGAGGCAGCAGUGAGGAAGAUUGGUCAAUGGGCGAGAGCCUGAACCAGCCAAGUCGCGUGAAGGAUGACUGUCUUAUGGAUUGUAAACUUCUUUUGUAGGGGAAUAAAGAGGGGCACGUGUGCCCCAGUGAAUGUACCCGACGAAUAAGCAUCGGCUAACUCCGUG